rnacentral:rRNA from 1 species
GCGAUGGAGGGACGGAGAAGGCUAGGCCAGCACGGCGUUGGUUGUCCGUGUUUAAGGUUGUAGGCUGGUUUCUUAGGUAAAUCCGGGAGAUCAAGGCCGAGAGCUGAUGACGAGCGUUCUUUUAGAAUGCGAAGUGGUUGAUGCCAUGCUUCCAGGAAAAGCUUCUAAGCUUCAGGUAACUAGGAACCGUACCCCAAACCGACACAGGUGGUUAGGUAGAGAAUACCAAGGCGCUUGAGAGAACUCGGGUGAAGGAACUAGGCAAAAUGGCACCGUAACUUCGGGAGAAGGUGCGCCGGUGAGGGUGAAGUAUUUACUACGUAAGCCCAUGCCGGUCGAAGAUACCAGGCCGCUGCGACUGUUUAUUAAAAACACAGCACUCUGCAAACACGAAAGUGGACGUAUAGGGUGUGACGCCUGCCCGGUGCCGGAAGGUUAAUUGAUGGGGUUAGCGCAAGCGAAGCUCUUGAUCGAAGCCCCGGUAAACGGCGGCCGUAACUAUAACGGUCCUAAGGUAGCGAAAUUCCUUGUCGGGUAAGUUCCGACCUGCACGAAUGGCGUAACGAUGGCGGCGCUGUCUCCACCCGAGACUCAGUGAAAUUGAAAUCGCUGUGAAGAUGCAGUGUAUCCGCGGCUAGACGGAAAGACCCCGUGAACCUUUACUAUAGCUUUGCACUGGACUUUGAGCUUGCUUGUGUAGGAUAGGUGGGAGGCUUUGAAGUGGGGACGCCAGUUCUCAUGGAGCCAUCCUUGAAAUACCACCCUGGCAACCUUGAGGUUCUAACUCUGGUCCGUAUCCGGAUCGAGGACAGUGUAUGGUGGGUAGUUUGACUGGGGCGGUCUCCUCCCAAAGAGUAACGGAGGAGUACGAAGGUGCGCUCAGACCGGUCGGAAAUCGGUCGUAGAGUAUAAAGGCAAAAGCGCGCUUGACUGCGAGACAGACACGUCGAGCAGGUACGAAAGUAGGUCUUAGUGAUCCGGUGGUUCUGUAUGGAAGGGCCAUCGCUCAACGGAUAAAAGGUACUCCGGGGAUAACAGGCUGAUACCGCCCAAGAGUUCAUAUCGACGGCGGUGUUUGGCACCUCGAUGUCGGCUCAUCACAUCCUGGGGCUGAAGCCGGUCCCAAGGGUAUGGCUGUUCGCCAUUUAAAGUGGUACGCGAGCUGGGUUUAGAACGUCGUGAGACAGUUCGGUCCCUAUCUGCCGUGGACGUUUGAGAUUUGAGAGGGGCUGACCUUAGUACGAGAGGACCGGGUUGGACGAACCUCUGGUGUUCCGGUUGUCACGCCAGUGGCAUUGCCGGGUAGCUAUGUUCGGAAAAGAUAACCGCUGAAAGCAUCUAAGCGGGAAACUUGCCUCAAGAUGAGAUCUCACUGGGAACUUGAUUCCCCUAAAGGGCCGUCGAAGACUACGACGUUGAUAGGCAGGGUGUGUAAGCGCUGUGAGGCGUUGAGCUAACCUGUACUAAUUGCCCGUGAGGCUUGACCAU